rfam:Culex pipiens quinquefasciatus supercont3.1140 genomic scaffold, whole genome shotgun sequence.
CCUUCGAUAGCUCAGUUGGUAGAGCGGUGGACUGUAGAUGAUACAAUUGUUCAAAGUAACAUUCGAACAAUUCGCAGUAAUCCAUAGGUCGCUGGUUCAAAUCCGGCUCGAAGGA